rnacentral:tRNA from 1 species
GCGUUGAUGGUUCAGUGGUAGAAUUCACCUUUCACGCGGGAGACCCAGGUUCGAAUGCUGGCCAAAGCA